rnacentral:rRNA from 1 species
CCAAUAGCGUAUAUUAAAGUUGUUGCAGUUAAAAAGCUCGUAGUUGAAUUUCGGGAUCAGUAUGUUGGUCGUGCUUCGGUACGUACUGUCAUUACUGGUUUCUACCUUCUGAAGAACCUUGAUGUCAUUAAUUUGGUGUCUUGGGGAAUCAGGACUGUUACUUUGAAAAAAUUAGAGUGUUUAAAGCAAGCAUACGCUUGAAUACAUUAGCAGGGAAUAAUGAAAUAGGAAGUUUGAUUCUAUUUUGUUGGUUUCUAGGAUCGACGUAAUGAUUAAUAGGGAUAGUUGGGGGCAUUAGUAUUCAAUUGUCAGAGGUGAAAUUCUUGGAUUUAUUGAAGACUAACUACUGCGAAAGCAUUUGCCAAGGAUGUUUUCAUUAAUCAAGAACGAAAGUUAGGGGAUCGAAGACGAUCAGAUACCGUCGUAGUCUUAACCAUAAACUAUGCCGACUAGGGAUCGGAUGAUGUUAUUUUUAAUGACUCAUUCGGCGCCUUACG